CUCUGUGCUGAGAGUAGCGUCGAAGGGUAUGGAAACAUUUUCGGUUUCAAAUUAACAGGUGAAAAUAAGGAAACUAGCAAACAAAUUGAAAACAAUAUUAGGACAAAUCUUAUUAGGAAGAAGAAUGAGACUGAAACAAAGAUAUAAGUAAUGGGAAAAAAUCAGGAGUACAAUGGAGGACAUAUUAGCUAUUUACAGCCUUCAGGAAAUCCUAUGAUUCAGUUAGGAGGGAAGCAUUAUGCAAAUAUAAGGUUCAGCUCAUCAUCUACCUCUUCAAUAAUAAAUUACCUAUUGAACCAUAAUAUCCAGUAGCUUAUGAAUAAUAUAGUAUAAUGUAAUAGUUCAUAUUAAUAUAAUAUUGCAGUAGUAGGCAACUUCUCUCUUAAAAAUACAAUAAUAUUAAAAAAAGUGUAACUCAUUUUUGUAUAUUCUAAAUAUUUAUGAAGCUAGUUAUCUAAUAAAAAUUAUAAUAUGGGCAAAUUAAAGAAUGAUUCGAUUAUGCAAGGAUUAAAAAUAUCUUGCAAAAUGUAGGAGGAUUCAUAUCUACAGCAGGAACAGUUAACACCCAAAAACAACAGAAUUCUAUAUUAAGUACUGUAAUAUCCUGAAUGAUGUCAUAAAAUAGGCUAAAAAGCAGUAUUACAGUAGACUAAUAACAAAAUCUGGUAAUAAAAUAAAAAUAACACGGUACAUAAUAAAAAGGGAGAGAGGAAAGAUACAUUUAACUAAACUGUUAACUACUUCUUUGGAAGAAUGUGAGGUUAGGUUAUGUACAAUAGAUUAUAUCAUCACAUGCACAUUGGUCAAAGAAAUAUUUCACUUCAGGA